rnacentral:rRNA from 1 species
CCUACGGGGGGCAGCAGUGGGGAAUAUUGGGCAAUGGGCGCAAGCCUGACCCAGCAAUGCCGCGUGAAGGAAGAAGGCUUUCGGGUUGUUAACUUCUUUGACACGGGAAGAGCAGAAGACGGUACCCUGAAAACAAGCCACGGCUAACUACGUGCCAGCAGCCUCGGUAAUCCGUAGGUGGCAAGCGGUGUCCGGAUUUACUGGUUGUAAAGGGCGUGUAGCCGGGAAGGCAAGUCCGCUGUGAAAUCUGGCGGCGCAACCUCCAAAUUGCAUUUGAAACUGUUGGUCUUGAGUACUGGAGAGGCAGACGGAAUGCCUGGUGUAGCGGUGAAAUGCGUAGAUAUAAGGAGGAACACCAGUGGCGAAGGCGGUCUGCUGGACAGCAACUGACGGUGAGGCGCGAAAGCGUGGGGAGCAAACAGGAUUAGAUACCCCUGUAGUC